rnacentral:tRNA from 1 species
GCCCGGGUGGUGAAAUGGUAGACACAAGGGACUUAAAAUCCCUCGAUUGCAAAAUCGUGCGAGUUCGAGUCUCGCCCCGGGCA